CGGAGUUCAGUCUUCCCAGGCCCACCACGCUUCGCCGUCGGCUUCGCAUGGCACCGCCAGGCAGAACGACGAGGCGAAGCGCGUCCGGCAUAGCCCGAAGGGCGACGCCGGACAGAAAGAGCGCUUCGUCUUCUGGUUACGGGGCCAUAGCUCAGCUGGGAGAGCGCGUGCUUUGCAAGCAUGAGGUCGUCGGUUCGAUCCCGUCUGGCUCCACCAGAUGGUUUGAUCACCGAGAUCUUGACCGUCGUCCGCGAAACAUCACUUCGCAUCCUGCUAGUCUGGAUAGACAGCAAGUUGCGUGUUUUCUGACAUCGUAAAGAGGAGAUCGAUCCGAGUUGGAUCGUGCAACAUAUCGUUGCGCGAGCCUUCAUUAUCUCCGGAUCAUUUCGGCGCUCGCUUCCAGCCGUGAGGUUGGAUGCGGGUUGUAAAUGAUCCUUUUAGCGAAGCUUGACCGCCUCGCUAUCGGAACGAUCUUACGAAGCAAGCUGGUCUUUCUAGUCAAUGUCCGGCUGUACGUAGCAUUCAUCGAGGGUGCGCGCCCGAGAUUUCGGUCUCUUGGCAAUCGUACAGACAACAUUCUGCCGAGUGUGUGGACAUUGAUAAUGAGAGCAAUCAAGUGCCUUAAGGGUGUUCGGUGGAUGCCUUGGCGCUGAGAGGCGAUGAAGGACGUGCUACGCUGCGAUAAGCCGUGGGGAGCUGCGAAGAAGCUUUGAUCCGCGGAU
rnacentral:misc_RNA from 1 species